GUGUCCUUCUCUCUGCAGGCUGUCAUGCUGUAGAGUCACACACAGAGGCUGUGAUUCUCUGGCUUCAGCUCUGUGUUCAAACCCCUCACACCUGAGAGAGCUGGACCUGAGAUACAAUCACCCAGGAGACUCAGGAGUGAGAGCGCUGUCUGCUACUAAACUGGACACACUCACACUGCUUGUGGACCAUGGAGGAGAGAACAGGACCAAACCAGGACCCAGGAAAUACGGCUGUCAGCUCACACUGGAUCCAAACACAGCGCACAGAGUGCUGUCUCUGUCUGAGGGGAACAGGAAGGUGACACACACACCGGGGAGAGAGCAGCCAUAUCCUGAUCAUCCAGAGAGAUUUGAGCAUGUGCCCCAGGUUUUGUGCGGAGAGAGUGUGUGUGAGCGCUGUUACUGGGAGGCUGAGUUCAGUGGGCCUGAGGCAGGGCGGUUGGGAUGGGUUCACAUAGCAGUGACAUAUAAAGGUAUCAGCAGGAAAGGAUGGGGUUCUGACUGUGGGUUUGGAGGGAAUAAAAACUCCUGGAGUCUGGAGUGCAUGUUCAGAUACUCUGAUGAACUCAGAUACUCUGUCUGCCACAAUAACAACAAACUAGACAUACCUGCCCCCCACUCCCCCUACCGCAGAGUGUGUGAUGAUGAUGAUGAUGAUGAUGAUAGUAGAGGAGCAUGUGUCUACAGGGUAGGAGUGUGUGUGGACCGUCCAGCCGGCACUCUGUCCUUCUACAGCAUCUCUGACUCUGACACACUGACCCUCCUGCACAGAUUCCACACACACUUCACUCAACACACACCCCUCUGUGCUGGAUUUAGAGUGUGGGACUCCUCAGUGUCCCUCUGCCAACUGGAGUAGAGACACACACACACAUUCACACACACGUGCGCGCACACACACAUGCACACACACAAACAUGCACGUACGCACACACACACACGCAUACACACACACGUGCGCGCACACACAAACAUGCACACACAAACAUGCACGUGCACAUACACGCACACACAUGCGCAUAUACACUCGCACGCACACACACACACACACGUACACACACACCACAUUCAUAUACCCACUCACACACACGCAUACACGCACACACAUGCGCAUAUACACUCGCACGCACACACACACACACACACACCACAUUCAUAUACCCACUCACACACACGCACACACACACACACACACACACCACAUUCAUAUACCCACUCACACACACGCACACACUCAGAUACACAUAGAUACACACCCACACCUACACACACACCCUUUCUCUCUCACACUUAUGCACACACACUCACAAAUACACACACUGAUGUACACUCAUGCACACACUCUCACACACCUACGCACGCACACACUCGUGCACACACACUCACACUUACACACUCUCUCACACACCUAAUCACACACUUGCACAAACACACCUACACACAUGAACACACACAAUCUCUCGCACACACAGACACAUUCACCAGUUCACUCUCACGCACACACGCAUGCAUACGUACACACUCAUAACCGUAUGCACACACACACACUCUCUCUCUCUCACACACACACUCACAUCCACACACAUUCACACAUACGCACGCGCACACACACAAACUCAUGCACUCACGCACACACACACACACACGCACACAUGCGCUGUCACGCCUGGCGCCCGCCCUGUGUUUUUUCACCUUUUUUCUUGUAUUCGAGUAGGUAAUCUAUUGACGCCAUUCGUGGAAGCCAGCGAUCACCUUUAAUCGCUUCCAGCUGGGAGGCGGGGCCGCGGAUUGCUUAACCAUGGUCAGCUGGGAUCAUGCGUUUUAAAAAAAAGACUGCGAGUUCUACCAGCAGAAGCGCUCUCUUCUUUUUUUCACCAGCUUGCCUUUUUGACUCACCUGCAUAGUAGCUUGCUAGCUUGUCAAUUCGCCAACUCACUGCGCUGCACAUUUUGGCAUUUCCAGCCAGUUCUUUGUUGGUAACUUUUUUGUUUUUGUGUAAAUAAAUUCUUGUUAUUCCUUCACUCGGUUGUCGCGUGAUUUCAUGUGUCGGACCUACGAGUCGGUUCGUCAUAUGAAAUUGGGGGCUCGUCCGGGAUCUUGUUUCUGUCUAGGAAACAAGUGGGUAUUCUCGCAUUUUGGCAGUCGGGUUGCGAAUGCAAACGACUUGCAGUAUUGGUCGAAGAAGUUCGUAAGUUCAUAAGAAGAAGCUGUGUACAAGUUCGCGCUUCUGUGAAAUUGUUUGAACACUUCGUGGUAAUUUCAAAUUUAAGGUCAAUGGUUUGUGUGGGCAUUUGCUGCAGUUGCUAGUGUCUAAUGUUUGUUUGGUUGGCUUAAGUGUAACGUGAGCUAUAAUGAUGAUAAAGUGUAUCGGGUGUUUUGAAUGUCAAUCACCUGUUGGCUGGAAUUUAGUUUGGGUUUGGAUGCUGGAGAUUUCCUUAUGACACUCGGUGCAACGUUUUAAAAAAACGUUGAGUUGUGUUUUGUGUGCUCUGCUCUGUGCUUCCGACGCUUCUGGGCGAGGGUGAGAAACCCGUAUGCGAGUGUUGCCCUGUUAGGCUGAAGCAGUUAACCUCUAAAUGGCGAACUAACAUUUGUUUAUUUUAGUUUGUUGUUUUCGUGUGGCCACGGAAGAAGCCGAUUGUGCUCGGGUUCACCGUCCACUGUGUGGCAUAAUGUGUUGCAUCGACGGGCUCAGUGAUUAAAAUCCUCCCGUAAAGUCGCACGUACAGGCGAAGCUUAGUUAGCUGGGCAACUCGGUUAAGGCUAGUUUGCGUUGAAUGGUGUUUCUCUCCCCCUUGUGCUGAUGGCGUGUGUUGCAUUUAGUGUUCAUUUUUUCAAAGCGGUGAAAACUGUUAAUUUCAUAAUGGCGCAGGAAAU